CGUCAUCUUGCCUCCACUAACCUGUGAGCACCGGGUACCUGGAGGCCAAGGCCCCUCUGCUGGGCGGGGGGCGGUCCCCCGGGAGCUGUACCCCAUCAUUCCGCAGCCCGGUGUGAACACAGGCCCAGAGAGGUGAUGUGAUUUGCCCUAAGCCAUGCAGCUAGUGGCAGAGCCAGGCCUAGAAGCCAGGUGUCCUGGCUCCCAAGACAUUCCGCUGCCCGAGGAAUGGAACAGAAAAAGAAAGCUAGAAAAAAAGGAAGAAAAAUACUGUACUCAAAAGAGCACCAAUACUCACUUUUAUAAUGUCAGCAUCAACAAAGAUGAAAGAAAAUGAAAGAAGAAGCAAAUGAAAAUACAUACCAUGUUCAUCAAUAAGAAGAUUUAAUGGUGUGAAAAUAUGUAUUCUCCCUAAAUUAACCUUUAUUUUUAACUUUAUGUCAAUAAAAAUACAUUAUGAGGGUUUUUGUGAAAGUAGACAGAGUCUAAAGUUCAAAUGGAAAAAUAAACAAGUGAGGCUAGCCAGGAAAAUUCUGAAGAAG
ensembl:lncRNA